AGUGAACGCUGGCGGUAGGCCUAACACAUGCAAGUCGAACGGCAGCACAGAGGAGCUUGCUCCUUGGGUGGCGAGUGGCGGACGGGUGAGGAAUACAUCGGAAUCUACUCUGUCGUGGGGGAUGACGUAGGGAAACUUACGCUAAUACCGCAUACGACCUACGGGUGAAAGCAGGGGACCUUCGGGCCUUGCGCGAUUGAAUGAGCCGAUGUCGGAUUAGCUAGUUGGCGGGGUAAAGGCCCACCAAGGCGACGAUCCGUAGCUGGGCUGAGAGGAUGGUCAGCCACACUGGAACUGAGACACGGUCCAGACUCCUACGGGAGGCAGCAGUGGGGAAUAUUGGACAAUGGGCGCAAGCCUGAUCCAGCCAUACCGCGUGGGUGAAGAGGGCCUUCGGGUUGUAAAGCCCUUUUGUUGGGAAAGAAAUCCAGCUGGCUAAUACCCGGUUGGGAUGACGGUACCCAAAGAAUAAGCACCGGCUAACUUCGUGCCAGCAGCCGCCGUAA
rnacentral:rRNA from 1 species